rnacentral:rRNA from 1 species
AUGCGUCAGCUAGCCAAACCCGGCGCGCCCAAAGGGCGGUCGCGCCGGGCCGUCGCCGGAGCCAAGGAGAAGGCGGUGGCCGGCUCAUUCCGGCGGCUGUGCUUCGCUGCCGUCCUCGCGGUAACCUUCUUCCUCUACUACCGUUUCUCACAGCUGGACGACCCGUGCCGGGGACGGUACAUCCACGUUUGCAAGCUGCCGCCGCGCUUCAACACCGACAUGACGCGCGACGCCUGUCGCGGCGAUGGGCGCUGGCCCGCGGGCGCGUGCGAGUCCAUCGACAAUGCCGGCCUCGGCCCGCCGCUCGCCGACCCGGCCGACGGCGUGCUCACCGGCGAGGACGGGUGGUACGGCACGCGCCAGCUCGCCCUCGACAUCAUCUUCCACAACCGGAUGAAGCGGUACGAGUGCCUCACCAACCACACCGCCGUGGCCACCGCCGUCUUCGUGCCGUUCUACGCCGCCCUCGACUUCGCCCGCUACGCCGGCCAGGACAACGUGACGCGGGACGCCGCGUCGGUCGACCUGGCGGAGUGGCUCAAGUGGCGGCUCCUGUACGAUCAGCAAUGGCCCCAGGACGGCCACGACAAUUUCCUCGUCGCCGGGAGGACGGCGCGGGACCUGGCGAGGGAUGGCGGCAACUCCGGCGGCCCGAACUGGGGCACGAACCUCCUCGCCAGGCCGGUUGGCCGGAACCUGUCGGUGCUCGUCUUGGAGUCGUCGCUGGCGCCGAACGCGAGCGAGUUCGCCGUGCCGUACCCGACCUACUUCCACCCCAGGACCGACGCCGACGUGUUCCGGUGGCAGGACAGGGUGCGCGGCCUGCAGCGGAAGUGGCUCAUGGCGUUCGUCUCCGGCAAGCCGCGGGGGACGGAGAAGGCAGCAACGGCGACCAUCCACGACCAUGUCAUGGCCCAGUGCAAGGCGUCGGACGCGUGUGGGCACCUGCCGCCGGACCCGGACUGCGCUACCGGGACCGACCACGGUGAGUGCCACUCCCCUGUCAAGGCCAUGCGGCUGCUCCAGAGCGCGACCUUCUGCCUGCAUCCACCGCCAGGCGGCUCGCCCCCGUCGUACACGCGGCGGUGGGUGUUUGACGCGAUGGUGGCCGGGUGCAUCCCGGUCUUCUUCCACCCGGCGUCGGCGCACCUGCAGUACAGGUGGCACCUCCCCGAGGACCACGCCAAGUACUCGGUGUUCAUCCCGGAGGCCGGCGUCCGGGCGGGCACGGCGAGCAUCGAGGCCGUGCUCCGGGCGAUCCCGGCGGCGACGGUGGCGCGGAUGCGGGAGGAGGUGGUGAGGCUCAUCCCGCAGGUGGUCUACGCCGAUCCCCGGGGGAAGCUGGAGACUGUCAAGGACGCCUUCGACAUCGCCGUCGACGGGAUGCUCGACAGGGUGGCAAGGCUCCGGAAUUAA